CAUUAGCUCAGUUGGGAGAGCGCCAGGUUCGCAAUCUGGAAGUCAGGGGUUCAAGUCCCCUAUGAUC
rnacentral:tRNA from 1 species